CGGCGGUGUGCCUAAUACAUGCAAGUCGAACGCGUUGGCCCAACUGAUUGAACGUGCUUGCACGGACUUGACGUUGGUUUACCAGCGAGUGGCGGACGGGUGAGUAACACGUAGGUAACCUGCCCCAAAGCGGGGGAUAACAUUUGGAAACAGAUGCUAAUACCGCAUAACAAUUUGAAUCGCAUGAUUCAAAUUUAAAAGAUGGUUUCGGCUAUCACUUUGGGAUGGACCUGCGGCGCAUUAGCUUGUUGGUAGGGUAACGGCCUACCAAGGCUGUGAUGCGUAGCCGAGUUGAGAGACUGAUCGGCCACAAUGGAACUGAGACACGGUCCAUACUCCUACGGGAGGCAGCAGUAGGGAAUCUUCCACAAUGGGCGCAAGCCUGAUGGAGCAACACCGCGUGAGUGAAGAAGGGUUUCGGCUCGUAAAGCUCUGUUGUUAGAGAAGAACGUGCGUGAGAGCAACUGUUCACGCAGUGACGGUAUCUAACCAGAAAGUCACGGCUAACUACGUGCCAGCAGCCGCGGUAAUACGUAGGUGGCAAGCGUUAUCCGGAUUUAUUGGGCGUAAAGCGAGCGCAGGCGGUUUGAUAAGUCUGAUGUGAAAGCCUUUGGCUUAACCAAAGAAGUGCAUCGGAAACUGUCAGACUUGAGUGCAGAAGAGG
rnacentral:rRNA from 2 species